ACCCCGAGAGGGGAGUGAAAUAGAUACUGAAACCAUUAGCUAACAAACAGCAAGAGCAUCUCGUUAGCACUCGAUGCUCAAAAUCAAAAUGUAAAAAUAAAAAUUCAAAAUUAUAGAUUUUAAUUAAAAAAUUUUGAAUUUUAGAUUGUGUAAGUUUGGAUUUUAAAUUUUGAACACCGAGUGCUAGCGAGAUGUAAUUGCGUGCCUAUUGAAGAAUGAGUCAGCGAGUUUUCACCAUGUGUUGCUUAACUCUUUUAAUAAGAGGGAGGCAAAGGGAAACCGAGUCUUAACAGGGCGUUAAUAAUACAUGGUGAAAAACCCGAAACUGAGUGAGCUAACCAUGAGCAGGAUGAACCCCGUCGAAAGACGGGGGGAGGUCCGAACCCGUUGUCGGUGAAAUGACAUGGGAAGACUUGUGGUUAGAGGCAAUAUGCCUAUCGAACUCAGAGAUAGCUGGUUCUCCCCGAAAUAUAUUUGGGUAUAGCCCCUCUGAUAAGUUUUAUGGAGGUAGAGCUACUGAAUGGUCUCGAGAGCUUUUUGCGAUCGAGAUCAAUCAAACUCCGAAUGCCAUAAAAUUUUCAGCGGGAGUCAGUCGAGCCGGGAUAAGCUGGUUUCGACAAGAGGGAAACAGCCCAGAUUUCCAUCUAAGGUUCCUAAAUAACUUUUAAGUGGUAAAGGACGUCAAGUUUCCCAUACAGUAGGGAGGUUGGCUUAGAAGCAGCCAUCCUUUAAAGAGUGCGUAACAGCUCACCUAAAUAUCAGGUAUUUUUUAAUACCUAAGGAAACUUGGCGCCGAAAAUGAUCGGAGCUUAAAAAGUUUACCGAAGAUGAAAAUCUGCUUUUAGCAGGUGGUAGGGGAGCGUCCUGACGACAGCGAAGCACAAGCGUAAGCGAGUGUGGAGUUGUCAGGAGUGAGAAUGCUGACAUGAGUAGUGAUUCUGCCGAUGAAAACUCGGCAUGCCGGAUACCCAAGGUUUCCUCGGCAAUGUCAAUCAACCGAGGGUAAGACGGAACUAAGGAUGGUAUCAAUCGGUACCUCCGAUGUCUAAGCCGUUAAUAUUCGGCUUCUUAAUAUAAAACGUUAUUACUCAACCUAUGACGAAACUUGAUAACCCUACCUUUCUAUAUGAAAGGCUAAGUUGCAAGUCUUUUCGCUUUUUAGCGAAAUGGCGAGCAACAAAUGCAACUUGAUCGAAAGAUCGAGGAGUAGGGUGACUUAAGUUUCCGGGAAAAGUAGGUUGAGGAGUUUUAUAUUAAACCGUACCGCAAACCGACACAGGUGGGUUGGUGGAGAACACCAAGGCAGACGGGUAACGAUGAUUCAAGGAACUCGGCAAAAAAGCUGAGCGUAAGCUAAGCGAGAUGCUCUCCCCGCUAUCAGCGGGGCGCAGCGAAAGUUUGUCAACCGACUGUUUAACAAAAACACAGGUUCCUGCAAACCUCAAAAAGGGAGGUAUAGGAGCUGAGACCUGUCCGGUGCUGGUAAGUUAAUCGCUGCGGGUGAUUCCGCUUUUAGUGGAAGAGCUUGCGGCGCAAGCUCCAGUGAACGACAGCUCUAACCCUGAGAGUUCUAAGGUAGCGUAACCCCUUGCCGGGUAAGUUCCGGCCCGCAUGAAAGGUCUAACGAGUUGACAACUGUCUUGAAUCAUCGCCCGACGAAAUUGAAAUGGCUGUGAAGAUGCGGCCUACUUGCACAUGGACAAAAAGACCCCGGGAGCUUUACUGAAGCUAGGUAUUGGCGAAAGGGAAUCAAUUGUUUAGCGUAGGAGGGACCCCGUCUUUGGCGGGGGACAAUGAAACACCUCUCUUUGAUUUCUUUUCGCCUUAUCCCGCUUUAGCGGGAGACAGUGCUUGGCGGUCAGUUUAACUGGGGCGGUUUCCUCCAAAAAGGUAACGGAGGAGCGCAAAGGUCAGCUUAAUCCGGAUGGAAAUCGGAUGGUAAGUGCAAACGCAUAAGCUGGCUUAACUGUGAGAGAGACCUCUCGAGCAGAUGCGAAAGCAGGCGUUAGUGAUCCUCCGUCUGGCGGUGAUGGCCGGCGGGGCUUAACGGAUAAAAGCUACCCCGGGGAUAACAGGCUAGUCGCCUCCGAGAGUUCACAUCGACGAGGCGGUUCGGCACCUCGAUGUCGGCUCACCGUAUCCUGGGGCUGAAGUCGGUCCCAAGGGUCGGGCUGUUCGCCCGUUAAAACGGUACGUGAGCUGGGUUCAGAACGUCGUGAGACAGUUCGGACUCUAUCCUGUGCAAGCGCUUGGACUUUUGAGGGGAGACUCCUACAGUACGAGAGGACCUAGGAGUGGGAAUCCCUGGUGUACCGGUUGUCCCAAAAGGGCAUCGCCGGGUAGCUAUAUUCCUUUUUGAUAAGCACUGAAAGCAUCUCAAGUGCGAAGCAAACCCCAAGAUUAGAAGUCCCCAAUAGCUUACCGGAAGAUUACCGGUUUGAUAGGCGUCAGGUGUAAGUCUCGUUAAGAGAUUUAGCCAAGACGUACUAAUUAGCGACUCUCCCAU
rnacentral:rRNA from 1 species